UCGAAUCAGGAUUGCCCUAGUAACGGCGAGUGAAGCGGCAACAGCUCAAAUUUGAAAUCUGGCCCUCUCAGGGUCCGAGUUGUAAUUUGCAGAGGGUGCUUUGGCGAUGGCUGUGGUCUAAGUUCCUUGGAACAGGACGUCACAGAGGGUGAGAAUCCCGUACGUGGCCGCCAGCCUCCGCCGUGUAAAGCCCCUUCGACGAGUCGAGUUGUUUGGGAAUGCAGCUCUAAAUGGGAGGUAAAUUCCUUCUAAAGCUAAAUACUGGCCAGAGACCGAUAGCGCACAAGUAGAGUGAUCGAAAGAUGAAAAGCACUUUGGAAAGAGAGUCAAAAAGCACGUGAAAUUGUUGAAAGGGAAGCGCUUGCAGCCAGACUUGCCUGUAGUUGCUCACCGGGGCUCUUGCCCUGGGCACUCUUCUACGGGCAGGCCAGCAUCAGUCCGGGCGGCUGGAUAAAUGCCUGCUACA
rnacentral:rRNA from 1 species